ACAUCCGGUUAAUGAGAUUGAUUAAAUUGCUUUGGUAUAUCACAGCUAGAGCGUUCGCAAAUUGAAGAGAUUCUCUAAAAGAAACUACUUAAAGAUGUCUGACCGAAAGGCAGUCAUAAAGAAUGCUGACAUGUCUGAAGACAUGCAACAAGAUGCGAUCGACUGUACUACGCAAGCAAUGGAGAAGUUUAACAUCGAAAAAGAUAUUGCCGCAUAUGUAAAGAAAGAAUUUGACAAGAAAUUUAAUCCAACAUGGCAUUGCAUUGUAGGCAGAAACUUUGGAUCUUACGUGACACACGAAACAAAGCACUUUAUAUAUUUCUACCUGGGACAAGUUGCCAUCUUGUUGUUCAAGUCUGGUUGAAGGAGCUGAGAGUGUAUUGUAACCAAUGAACUUAAACCC